UCUCCAUCAGCCGUCGGGAAGGCGAACCAGGCGAAGGUCUGGGCGCGUCGGGCAAGUUGCGUGCGGUUCCGGUUUCCCCUUCUCGACUGAAAUCAGCGCCAGUUUUUCUCCAUCGCUACUGUUCUGCCUUUUUCCACCCGGGGAUUUGUUUUGCCGUGUAAAUCCAUUCAUCGUCCAGAUGCAAGCACGCUGUUGUAUCAGGUCUCCUCGUUACAUUGCCCUGAUAAAUCAUUAGCAAGAAAAACCAGUGCCGCUGAGAGAAACACUCCAUUACAAGGUGGAGUAAUCAAUUCUUCGUUUGAAGUUCAAGUGUCACCUGUCUUUUUUUUUUUUCUUUUAGUUUUAAUGAGAAAAAUAAAAUUGAUUGACUUGUUAACA